rnacentral:ncRNA from 1 species
AAAAGACUUAGUCCUAACCUUACCGUUAAUUCUUGCUCAACACAUACAUGCAAGUAUCUGCGCCCCAGUGAAAACACCCACACACCCUUACCAAGACAAGUGGAGUAGGUAUCAGGCUCACCCACGCCGUAGCCCAAGACACCCCGCUAAGCCACACCCCCACGGGUACUCAGCAGUAGUUAACAUUAAGCAAUAGGUGUAAACCUGACUUAGUUAGAGCAACCAGGACCGGUAAAUCUUGUGCCAGCCACCGCGGUCAUACAAGAGGUCCAAAUUAACCGUAUACGGCGUAAAGAGUGGCCCUAGACUAUCAUAACCAACUAAGACCUAACCAUCAACCCAAGCCGUCAUAAGCUAAAGGUACCCUGAAGCCCAACCUAUAAACGAUCUUAGCACUUAUCGACCUAUCCCACCCCACGAAAGCUAGGACACAAACUGGGAUUAGAUACCCCACUAUGCCUAGCCCUAAAUCUAGAUGUUUUACCCACACAAACACCCGCCCGAGAACUACGAGCACAAACGCUUAAAACUCUAAGGACUUGGCGGUGCCCUAAACCCACCUAGAGGAGCCUGUUCUAUAAUCGAUAAUCCACGAUACACCCGACCACUUCUUGCCAAUAACAGCCUACAUACCGCCGUCGCCAGCCCACCUCAAAUGAGAGCACAACAGUGAGCCCAAAAGCCUACCCCGCUAAUAAGACAGGUCAAGGUAUAGCCCAUGAAGUGGAAGAAAUGGGCUACAUUUUCUAAAAUAGAACAUACCCCCAACGAAAAGAGGCCUGAAACCUGCCUCUAACAAGGCGGAUUUAGCAGUAAAGAGGAACAAUCAAGUCCUCCUUAAGCUGGUCCUAGGGCACGUACACACCGCCCGUCACCCUCCUCACAAGCCCCCAUAAUCAAACUUAACUAACACAAACACAAAGCUAAAGACGAGGUAAGUCGUAACAAGGUAAGUGUACCGGAAGGUGCACUUAGCACACC